GCGCGAAAACUUCGCACUGCGCGAAAGCGCGACGAGGGAAUCCCAAGUGUAUGCACUUUUUGUGUAUACUGUUUCUCUGUCUAAAAAGCAGAGAGAGUAAGAGCUGGGUAAGACGGGUGCCAGCCGCCGCGGUAAUACCUGCAGCUCGAGUGGUGAUCGUUAUUAUUGGGCCUAAAACGUCCGUAGCCGGUCUUGUAAAUGCCUGGGUAAAUCGUAUGGCUUAACCAUACGAAUUCUGGGUAGACUGUUAGACUUGAGACCGGGAGAAGCUAGAGGUACUCCUGGGGUAGAGGUGAAAUUCUGUAAUCCUAGGGGGACCACCAGUGGCGAAGGCGUCUAGCUAGAACGGGUCUGACGGUGAGGGACGAAGCCCUGGGGCGCAAACGGGAUUAGAUACCCCGGUAGUCCAGGGUGUAAACGCUGCUUGCUUGAUGUUAGUCUGGCUCCGAGCCAGAUUAGUGUCGGAGAGAAGUUGUUAAGCAAGCUGCCUGGGAAGUACGGCCGCAAGACUGAAACUUAAAGGAAUUGGC
rnacentral:rRNA from 1 species